UCCGUUCAUCCAUACAUUUUCUGUACCUUUUAUCCUACACAGGGUCGCAGGGAGCCUAUCACAGGACUUGGGGCACAAGAGGGGGAGGGCACAUCACAGGGCACAAUCGCACACACAUUCACACAUACAUUCACACAUACAUUCAGACACUACGGACAAUUUGGAAAUGCCAGUCAGCUGACAACGCAUGUCUUUGGACUGGGGAGGAAACCAGAGUACCCGGAGGAAACCCACAAAGCAGGAGAACAUGCAAACUCCGCACACACACAGGUAGAACAUGCAAACUCCACACACACACACACAGGGGUAGAACAUGCAAACUCCGCACACACACAGGGGUAGAACAUGCAAACUCCACACACACACUCAGGGGUAGAACAUGCAAACUCCACACACACAGAGUAGAAAAUGCAAACUCCACACACACACACACACAGGGGGGUAGAACAUGCAAACUCCACACACACACAGGGGUAGAACAUGCAAACUCCACACACACACACAGGGGUCGAACAUGCAAACACACGCACACACACCCACACACACACACACACACACACACACACGCGCGUGGAGACUACCCACGUGUGUGUGUGCGUGUCGCAUGUUCUACCCCUGUGUGUGUGGAGUUUGCAUCGAACACCAUCUGGGUAUAGUGAGAUAUCAGUGCCACGGCUGCACACUGAUCCCCUUUCCUAAUGCAGGAGCACCAUCUAGUGGCCCGAUACUAUUAAACACAAAACAGAUUUUCUUUCCACGAGUUUUGUGUUUUUAUAUAUUAUUUAAUGACGGAACAUAGCAGGAAGAGUUCCCAAGUUUAGCAAUAUUAUGAACUAAUCCC
ensembl:lncRNA